GAUGAACGCUGGCGGCGUGCUUAACACAUGCAAGUCGAACGGUGAACGAGGGAGCUUGCUCCCUCCGGAUCAGUGGCGAACGGGUGAGUAACACGUGAGCAAUCUGCCCUGGACUCUGGGAUAAGCGUUGGAAACGACGUCUAAUACCGGAUACGAGGCGUGGGGGCAUCCCCAACGCCUGGAAAGCUUUUGCGGUGUGGGAUGGGCCCGCGGCCUAUCAGCUUGUUGGUGGGGUAAUGGCCUACCAAGGCGACGACGGGUAGCUGGCCUGAGAGGGUGACCGGCCACAGUGGGACUGAGAUACGGCCCAGACUCCUACGGGAGGCAGCAGUGGGGGAUAUUGCACAAUGGGCGCAAGCCUGAUGCAGCGACGCCGCGUGAGGGAUGACGGCCUUCGGGUUGUAAACCUCUUUCAGUACCGACGAAGCGCAAGUGACGGUAGGUACAGAAGAAGGACCGGCCAACUACGUGCCAGCCGCCGCGGUAAUAC
rnacentral:rRNA from 1 species